rnacentral:rRNA from 1 species
GUAGGUGGCAAGCGUUGUCCGGAAUUAUUGGGCGUAGAGCGCGCGCAGGCGGUUCUUUAAGUCUGAUGUGAAAGCCCACGGCUCAACCGUGGAGGGUCAUUGGAAACUGGAGAACUUGAGUACAGAAGAGGAAAGCGGAAUUCCACGUGUAGCGGUGAAAUGCGUAGAGAUGUGGAGGAACACCAGUGGCGAAGGCGGCUUUCUGGUCUGUAACUGACGCUGAGGCGCGAAAGCGUGGGGAGCAAACAGGAUUAGAUACCCUGGUAGUCCACGCCGUAAACGAUGAGUGCUAAGUGUUAGGGGGUUUCCGCCCCCCUUAGUGCUGCAGCUAACGCAUUAAGCACUCCGCCUGGGAGUACGGCCGCAAGGCUG